CGUGGGUAACCUGCCCAAGAGAUCGGGAUAACACCUGGAAACAGAUGCUAAUACCGGAUAACAACAGAUGAUGCCUAUCAACUGUUUAAAAGAUGGUUCUGCUAUCACUCUUGGAUGGACCUGCGGUGCAUUAGCUAGUUGGUAGGGUAACGGCCUACCAAGGCGAUGAUGCAUAGCCGAGUUGAGAGACUGAUCGGCCACAUUGGGACUGAGACACGCCCAAACUCCGUACGGGAGGCAGCAGGA
rnacentral:rRNA from 1 species